rnacentral:rRNA from 1 species
UACGUAGGGUGCGAGCGUUAAUCGGAAUUACUGGGCGUAAAGCGUGCGCAGGCGGUUUUGUAAGCCAGAUGUGAAAUCCCCCGGGCUUAACCUGGGAAUGGCAUUUGGGACUGCAAGGCUGGAGUACGGCAGAGGAGACUGGAAUUCCUGGUGUAGCAGUGAAAUGCGUAGAGAUCAGGAGGAAUACCGAUGGCGAAGGCAGGUCUCUGGGCUGAUACUGACGCUCAUGCACGAAAGCGUGGGGAGCAAACAGG